rnacentral:rRNA from 1 species
ACUGGUUGAUCCUGCCAGUAGUCAUAUGCUUGUCUCAGAGAUUAAGCCAUGCAUGUCUAAGUACAUACCUUAAAACGGUGAAACCGCGAAUGGCUCAUUAAAUCAGCUAUGGUUCCUUAGAUCGUAAACGCUACAUGGAUAACUGUAGUAAUUCUAGAGCUAAUACAUGCCUUGAAUCCCUGACCCGCAAGGGGACGGGUGCAUUUAUUAGAACAGAACCAACCGGGUGCGGCUUAUGCUGUGCCUGUUACAUUCUGUGAUGACUCUGGAUAACUUUACUGAUCGCAGUCGGCCUUGUGUGUCGGCGACGGAUCUUUCAAAUGUCUGCCCUAUCAAUUUGUUGGUAGGUGAUUUGCCUACCAUGAUGAUAACGGGUAACGGGGAAUCAGGGUUCGAUUCCGGAGAGGGAGCCUUGAGAAAUGGCUACCACAUCCAAGGACGGCAGCAGGCGCGAAAAUUACCCACUCCCAGCACGGGGAGGUAGUGACGAAAAAUACGGAUACGGGACUCAAUUGAGGCUCCGUAAUUCGAAUGAGUACAAUUUAAAUCCUGUAACGAGGACCAAUUGGAGGGCAAGUCUGGUGCCAGCAGCCGCGGUAACUCCAGCUCCAAAAGCGUAUAUUAAAGUUGCUGCAGUUAAAAAGCUCGUAGUUGGAUCUGGGUAGUGCGAUCGCAUGCUGUUGCUUGUUCACGGUCUUGGUUACGAUCAGGGCAGUGGUCAGCUCGGCGUAGUGGUUGUGCAACCUUUCAGCCGUGUCUGUGUUUUAUUAAACAGGUGUCGAUGGGUUAAUGAGUAUUGUAUCUUAUUGACCUGUUGGCAUGCUUUCGGAUGCCUUUAAACGGGUGUCGGGGGCGGACGGCAUCUUUACUUUGAACAAAUUUGAGUGCUCAAAGCAGGCCUAUGCGCCUGAAAAUUCUUGCAUGGAAUAAUGAAAUAGGACUUCGGUUCUAUUUUGUUGGUUUUCGGAUCCGAAGUAAUGGUUAAGAGGGACAGACGGGGGCAUUUGUAUGGCGGUGUUAGAGGUGAAAUUCUGGGAUCGCCGCCAGACAAACUACAGCGAAAGCAUUUGCCAAGAAUGUUUUCAUUGAUCAGGAGCGAAAGUCAGAGUUUCGAAGACGAUCAGAUACCGUCGUAGUUCUGACCAUAAACGAUGCCAACUGACGAUCCGCGUUGGUUCUAUAAUUGACAUCGCGGGCAGUCCCCCGGGAAACCUUUAAGUCUUUGGGCUCCGGGGGGAGUAUGGUUGCAAAGCUGAAACUUAAAGGAAUUGACGGAAGGGCACCACCAGGAGUGGAGCCUGCGGUUUAAUUCGACUCAACACGGGAAAACUCACCCGGCCCGGACACUGUGAGGAUUGACAGAUUGAAAGCUCUUUCUUGAUUCGGUGGUUGGUGGUGCAUGGCCGUUCUUAGUUGGUGGAGCGAUUUGUCUGGUUAAUUCCGAUAACGAACGAGACUUUAACCUACUAAAUAGUAGACUGGUCCUCUGUGCUCGUUCAGGGCGCGGCUUCUACUGCUUCUUUAUGGAGUAGUGUGGUCGUGAUCCGACGGGUGCGGUGCCAGUUUUUACUUCUUAGAGGGACAAGCGGCACACUUAAGUCGCACGAAAUUGAGCAAUAACAGGUCUGUGAUGCCCUUAGAUGUCCGGGGCCACACGUGCGCUACAAUGACGG